rnacentral:misc_RNA from 1 species
CUGUUCGGCAGUUUACUGCUGUUUUUAAAGGGUGUGGAAACUUUUUGGGUUAUCCCAGAGAGGUGUACACGCCCUUUAUACACCCUUGACUUUUUGCGCACCCUUGUUUCCUCGGUAGGCUUGCCUGCCGGUUGGACAACUUAAUAACCUUUGAAAUUUUCAAUCAGCGUCUGUAAAACAUAAUAAUUA